GAUGAACGCUGGCGGCGUGCCUAAUACAUGCAAGUCGAGCGAACAGACGAGGAGCUUGCUCCUCUGACGUUAGCGGCGGACGGGUGAGUAACACGUGGAUAACCUACCUAUAAGACUGGGAUAACUUCGGGAAACCGGAGCUAAUACCGGAUAAUAUAUUGAACCGCAUGGUUCAAUAGUGAAAGACGGUUUUGCUGUCACUUAUAGAUGGAUCCGCGCCGCAUUAGCUAGUUGGUAAGGUAACGGCUUACCAAGGCAACGAUGCGUAGCCGACCUGAGAGGGUAAUCGGCCACACUGGAACUGAGACACGGUCCAGACUCCUACGGGAGGCAGCAGUAGGGACUCUUCCGCAAUGGGCGAAAGCCUGACGGAGCAACGCCGCGUGAGUGAUGAAGGUCUUCGGCUCGUAAAACUCUGUUAUUAGGGAAGAACAAAUGUGUAAGUAACUAUGCACGUCUUGACGGUACCUAAUCAGAAAGCCACGGCUAACUACGUG
rnacentral:rRNA from 1 species